rnacentral:tRNA from 1 species
GCCGUGGUGGUGGAAUGGUAGACACUUACGCCUUAAGAGCGUAUGGGAUAAUAUCCCGUGGGAGUUCGAGUCUCCCCCUCGGCA